rnacentral:rRNA from 1 species
GAUGAACGCUAGCUACAGGCUUAACACAUGCAAGUCGAGGGGCAGCAUGAACUUAGCUUGCUAAGUUUGAUGCGACCGGCGCACGGGUGAGUAACACGUAUCCAACCUGCCGAUGACUCGGGGAUAGCCUUUCGAAAGAAAGAUUAAUACCCGAUGGCAUAGUUCUUCCGCAUGGUAGAACUAUUAAAGAAUUUCGGUCAUCGAUGGGGAUGCGUUCCAUUAGGUUGUUGGCGGGGUAACGGCCCACCAAGCCUUCGAUGGAUAGGGGUUCUGAGAGGAAGGUCCCCCACAUUGGAACUGAGACACGGUCCAAACUCCUACGGGAGGCAGCAGUGAGGAAUAUUGGUCAAUGGACGAGAGUCUGAACCAGCCAAGUAGCGUGAAGGAUGACUGCCCUAUGGGUUGUAAACUUCUUUUAUACGGGAAUAAAGUGAGGCACGUGUGCCUUUUUGUAUGUACCGUAUGAAUAAGGAUCGGCUAACUCCGUG